rnacentral:rRNA from 1 species
AGAGUUUGAUCCUGGCUCAGGAUGAACGCUGGCGGCGUGCUUAACACAUGCAAGUCGAACGGACUUAUAUCAAUGGCGGCUUCGGCCAAAGUUUUUAUAAGUUAGUGGCGGACGGGUGAGUAACGCGUGGGUAACCUGCCUUACACAGGGGGAUAACAGAUGGAAACGACUGUUAAUACCGCAUAAGACCACAGUACCGCAUGGUACAGGGGUAAAAGUUCCGGCGGUGUAAGAUGGACCCGCGUCUGAUUAGCUAGUUGGUGAGGUAACGGCCCACCAAGGCGACGAUCAGUAGCCGACCUGAGAGGGUGAUCGGCCACAUUGGGACUGAGACACGGCCCAAACUCCUACGGGAGGCAGCAGUGGGGAAUAUUGCACAAUGGGGGAAACCCUGAUGCAGCGACGCCGCGUGAGUGAUGAAGUAUUUCGGUAUGUAAAGCUCUUUAAGCAGGGAAGAUAAUGACGGUACCUGCAGAAUAAGCACCGGCUAAAUACGUGCC